CUUUAACGAAAAAUCAUAUUUUUACACUAAAAAGUCAAACCUGAUACUAUUCACUUUAUCCUUUAUUUUGUCCUUAUCGUUAAAACUCAAAGUUUUCAAGACAUUUUCAUUAGUUUUCCUAUGGUUUUUUUUUGUGUGAUUCAUAAUUUGUUAGCUAAUUAUAAAUAAAUUAAUUAAUUAGCUAAUUAAUAUAAUUAAAAAAGAAUGAUUUGGGGGUUACCUUGUGGAAUAGAUUUGAUGAAGAUGGAUGAAAUAGGUUUUGAAUAAAUACCUAUUUUGGGCACUUUUGACUUGAUUGAGGGAUGAUUGCCCAAUGCUUGCGCGUAGAAAUCCCGAUGUGC
rnacentral:lncRNA from 1 species